AGAACCCCGGGAGGGGAGUGAAAAGAACAUGAAACCAUAAACUUACAAGCAGUAGGAGGACGACUAUAACGUCUGACUGCGUGCCUGUUGAAGAAUGAGCCGGCGACUUAUAGUUAGUGGCAGGUUAAGGUAGUGAAUACCGAAGCCAUAGUGAAAGCGAGCCUGAAUAGGGCGUUUGUCACUAGUUAUGGCCCCGAACCCGGGUGAUCUAACCAUGGUCAGGUUGA
rnacentral:rRNA from 1 species